rnacentral:rRNA from 1 species
CGGAAUUACUGGGCGUAAAGCGUGCGUAGGUGGUUGUUUAAGUCUGAUGUGAAAGCCCUGGGCUCAACCUGGGAAUGGCAUUGGAUACUGGGCAGCUAGAGUGCGGUAGAGGGUAGUGGAAUUCCCGGUGUAGCAGUGAAAUGCGUAGAUAUCGGGAGGAACAUCCGUGGCGAAGGCGACUACCUGGACCAGCACUGACACUGAGGCACGAAAGCGUGGGGAGCAAACA